rnacentral:rRNA from 1 species
GUACACGCUGUGACUAGCAUAUCAAUAAGCGGAGGAAAAGAAACUAACAAGGAUUCCCCUAGUAACGGCGAGUGAAGCGGGAAGAGCUCAAAUUUGAAAUCUUAAAGGGUUUCCCUUUACGAAUUGUAGUUUAAAGAAGUGUUUUCUGUUGAGGUUUUGGUAAAAGUUCUUUGGAAUAGGACAUCAUAGAGGGUGAGAAUCCCGUAUUUGACCUUUACUUUCAACUUUGUGAUACACUUUCAAAGAGUCGGAUUGUUCGGGAAUGCAGUCCAAAAUGGGUGGUAAAUUUCAUCUAAAGCUAAAUAUUGGCGAGAGACCGAUAGCGAACAAGUACCGUGAGGGAAAGAUGAAAAGAACUUUGAAAAGAGAGUUAAACAGUACGUGAAAUUGUCAAAAGGGAAGCGUUUGACACCAGUGUUGUUUUUCUGAAAAUCAAUUAAAGAACUGUUUAUGCUAAGUUGUUUAGACUUUAUCAGCUAACUGUUUAGUUUCGAGCUUUUCUUUAAUGCACUUUUCAGUUAACAAGUCAACAUCAAUUUCUUUUGCUGUAAAAAAGCUUGAGGAAGGUGGCUUGAGAUUCGUCUUAAGUGUUUAUAGCCUCUUGCCUAUGCAGUCGGAGAGAUUGAGGUCUGCAGCGUAGAUCCUUCGGGGCUAAAUGCAUUUGUGCUAAGUUAUAACAUUUUAUAGACAACUUGUUGACUAUGAUUUGUCUUGUAGCUUACUCGCUUAUGUUAUUUUACCUACGCUUAGGAUGUUGACGCGCGUGUGUGCGU